AACGUACGCUGGCGGCACGCCUAAUACAUGCAAGUCGAACGCAGUAGCAAUACUGAGUGGCAAACGGGUGAGUAUAAUGUGGGUAUCUACCUUUUGGUUUGGAAUAACACGAGGAAACUUGUGCUAAUACCGAAUAAGCCCUUACGGGGAAAGUUUUAACGCCGAUAGAUGAGCCCGCACUUGAUUAGCUAGUUGGUGAGGUAAUAGCUCACCAAGGCAACGAUCAAUAGCUGUUCUUAGAGGAAGACCAGCCACAUUGGGACUGAGACACGGCCCAAACUCCUACGGGAGGCAGCAGUAGGGAAUCUUGCACAAUGGGGGAAACCCUGAUGCAGCGAUGCCGCGUGAGUGAAGAAGGCCCUUGGGUUGUAAAACUCUUUCGUCGGGGAAGAAAUGACUGUACCCGAAUAAGAAGGUCCGGCUAACUUCGUGCCAGCAGCCGCCGUAAU
rnacentral:rRNA from 1 species